rnacentral:rRNA from 1 species
GAUGAACGCUGGCGGCGUGCCUAAUACAUGCAAGUCGAGCGAACGGACGAGAAGCUUGCUUCUCUGAUGUUAGCGGCGGACGGGUGAGUAACACGUGGAUAACCUACCUAUAAGACUGGGAUAACUUCGGGAAACCGGAGCUAAUACCGGAUAAUAUUUUGAACCGCAUGGUUCAAAAGUGAAAGACGGUCUUGCUGUCACUUAUAGAUGGAUCCGCGCUGCAUUAGCUAGUUGGUAAGGUAACGGCUUACCAAGGCAACGAUGCAUAGCCGACCUGAGAGGGUGAUCGGCCACACUGGAACUGAGACACGGUCCAGACUCCUACGGGAGGCAGCAGUAGGGAAUCUUCCGCAAUGGGCGAAAGCCUGACGGAGCAACGCCGCGUGAGUGAUGAAGGUCUUCGGAUCGUAAAACUCUGUUAUUAGGGAAGAACAUAUGUGUAAGUAACUGUGCACAUCUUGACGGUACCUAAUCAGAAAGCCACGGCUAGCUACGUGCCAGCAGCCGCGGUAAUACGUAGGUGGCAAGCGUUAUCCGGAAUUAUUGGGCGUAAAGCGCGCGUAGGCGGUUUUUUAAGUCUGAUGUGAAAGCCCACGGCUCAACCGUGGAGGGUCAUUGGAAACUGGAAAACUUGAGUGCAGAAGAGGAAAGUGGAAUUCCAUGUGUAGCGGUGAAAUGCGCAGAGAUAUGGAGGAACACCAGUGGCGAAGGCGACUUUCUGGUCUGUAACUGACGCUGAUGUGCGAAAGCGUGGGGAUCAAACAGGAUUAGAUACCCUGGUAGUCCACGCCGUAAACGAUGAGUGCUAAGUGUUAGGGGGUUUCCGCCCCUUAGUGCUGCAGCUAACGCAUUAAGCACUCCGCCUGGGGAGUACGACCGCAAGGUUGAAACUCAAAGGAAUUGACGGGGACCCGCACAAGCGGUGGAGCAUGUGGUUUAAUUCGAAGCAACGCGAAGAACCUUACCAAAUCUUGACAUCCUUUGACAACUCUAGAGAUAGAGCCUUCCCCUUCGGGGGACAAAGUGACAGGUGGUGCAUGGUUGUCGUCAGCUCGUGUCGUGAGAUGUUGGGUUAAGUCCCGCAACGAGCGCAACCCUUAAGCUUAGUUGCCAUCAUUAAGUUGGGCACUCUAAGUUGACUGCCGGUGACAAACCGGAGGAAGGUGGGGAUGACGUCAAAUCAUCAUGCCCCUUAUGAUUUGGGCUACACACGUGCUACAAUGGACAAUACAAAGGGCAGCGAAACCGCGAUGUCAAGCAAAUCCCAUAAAGUUGUUCUCAGUUCGGAUUGUAGUCUGCAACUCGACUACAUGAAGCUGGAAUCGCUAGUAAUCGUAGAUCAGCAUGCUACGGUGAAUACGUUCCCGGGUCU